AACGAACGCUGGCGGCAGGCCUAACACAUGCAAGUCGAACGAACCGUUUACGGUGAGUGGCGCACGGGUGAGUAACACGUGGGAAUAUACAUUUCGGUAAGGAAUAACGUAGAGAAAUUUACGCUAAUACCUUAUAAUGACUACGGUCCAAAGAUUUAUCGCCGAAGGAUUAGCCCGCGUUAGAUUAGGUAGUUGGUAGGGUAAUGGCCUACCAAGCCUACGAUCUAUAGCUGGUCUUAGAGGAUGAUCAGCCACACUGGAACUGAGACACGGUCCAGACUCCUACGGGAGGCAGCAGUGAGGAAUAUUGCGCAAUGGGGGAAACCCUGACGCAGCCAUGCCGCGUGAGUGACGAAGGCCUUAGGGUUGUAAAGCUCUUCCAGAUGUAAAGAUAAUGACGGUAACAUCAGAGGAAGCUCCGGCUAAAUUCGUGCCAGCAGCCGCCGUAA
rnacentral:rRNA from 1 species